rnacentral:rRNA from 1 species
AGUGAACGCUGGCGGUAGGCCUAACACAUGCAAGUCGAACGGCAGCACAGGAGAGCUUGCUCUCUGGGUGGCGAGUGGCGGACGGGUGAGGAAUACAUCGGAAUCUACUUUUUCGUGGGGGAUAACGUAGGGAAACUUACGCUAAUACCGCAUACGACCUACGGGUGAAAGCAGGGGACCUUCGGGCCUUGCGCGAUUGAAUGAGCCGAUGUCGGAUUAGCUAGUUGGCGGGGUAAAGGCCCACCAAGGCGACGAGCCGUAGCUGGUCUGAGAGGAUGAUCAGCCACACUGGAACUGAGACACGGUCCAGACUCCUACGGGGGGCAGCAGUGGGGAAUAUUGGACAAUGGGCGCAAGCCUGAUCCAGCCAUACCGCGUGGGUGAAGAAGGCCUUCGGGUUGUAAAGCCCUUUUGUUGGGAAAGAAAUCCAGCUGGCUAAUACCCGGUUGGGAUGACGGUACCCAAAGAAUAAGCACCGGCUAACUUCGUGCCAGCCGCCGCAGUAA